UCUGGUCGUCCGCGCGCGUGUCGAUUCGCGUUCGUCUCUCAGCGCUACUCGCGACUCGCUUCGCGUCGUUCGAGUUCGCCCAACGGAUACGAGUGGAGUCGCAUAUGCAGUGCGUGCGGUAACGUGUCGAUCUCGAUCGUUCAACGGGGUGCUUGAGUGAUGUGACGUGCACGCGGCAUCGUCGACAACACACAUCUCACGGUAUUCUUCGUGCGAGAAUGUGCGCCAGACAUCGACGCACGUACAUGCACAAUAUCUUCCACUGGUGAUCGUGGUGGUUUCCCAUAGUGGAAACCAAAAGCUACAUAUUACGUUACGGACAGCGAGGCGAUAUCGCGCGUCGCCACAGCGUCCAAGCUGGCCACCGUGGAGGAUGUGGGUCCAAAGCGGCCCGAAGGCCCCAUCCGACCAUCCGCCGCCUCCCUAAAGGUCUCACCCACGGCCAGGGCUACUCUACAGGC